rnacentral:antisense_RNA from 1 species
CUUGACGGAGCCGAGCCACAACGGCCGCUCCGGCGGGCGCUGUUGUCCGUAGGUGGCGAGGAUCGCCUGGGCCUC